UUGAUGAUGAUUAUUUCUGUGAACAGAACAGCUUCAUCUGGAUGGAUGAGACCAGAACUGAACUGUCUGGUAAAAACUCUGAGUUUGAGGUUAAAAACAAACAAACUGUGAUUCUGUUCUGACUGUCAAACAUCAGAGUGAAAACAUCCAAAGAUUCACCUGCCAGUUUGUGAAGGGCAACAAAGUGAAGAUAGAAGCUGUCUAUGUUCUUACAGGAUCAGACACCAUGAGGACCAGAGCAGAGGCAGGAACACAGCAGGGCAGCUGCUGCCAUGACAGGUUCAUUUUAGGAUGAAGAAAAUCUUCAAGCAAGGAUCUGAGUUCAAGAUCUUUCAUGUAAAAAUCACAUUUUAAAAAGCUAAAUCUGAAAUUUCAGAUUUGUCUCCAAAAACUGCCUUUAUUAAAGAAAGUGAUGCAAUAAAUGAUAAUAACACAGAUAUAAAACAUCAACUGAUUGAUCUUUGCAGAGCAGCUGAAGAACCAUGAAGAAAACAAAAACAAGACAACAAAAACAGGAAACUUCUCUGUUUUGACAAAAACAACUACAAGUAAAUGACUAUAAUAGGAUAAAAUAAAGACUUCUCUAAAUAUGUCUAUAGAGUCUAAAUGUAACAUUUUAUCUUUUUUUGGUUGGAUCAGUGGUGAAGGUGGUGUUGAUGUUUCUGGGUUUGGUUGCUGCUCUGAUCUACAUGUACAGGAGGAGAACCAAAGAGAAUGAAGAGCAGAGAACUAGAACAAAGAGAAGAACAGUUGAUGGUGAUGAAGACGAUCUGUGAAGAACAAAUGCAGAAAAA